GGCACCGUAGCACAGUUGUUUAGCGCGCCUGUCUCUAACCCAGAGGUAAUGGGUUCAAGGCUCGUCGUUGCUA
rnacentral:tRNA from 1 species